rnacentral:rRNA from 1 species
ACGUGGCGGCGUGCUUAACACAUGCAAGUCGAACGGAAAGGCCCUGCUUUUGUGGGGUGCUCGAGUGGCGAACGGGUGAGUAACACGUGAGUAACCUGCCCUUGACUUUGGGAUAACUUCAGGAAACUGGGGCUAAUACCGGAUAGGAGCUCCUGCUGCAUGGUGGGGGUUGGAAAGUUUCGGCGGUUGGGGAUGGACUCGCGGCUUAUCAGCUUGUUGGUGGGGUAGUGGCUUACCAAGGCUUUGACGGGUAGCCGGCCUGAGAGGGUGACCGGCCACAUUGGGACUGAGAUACGGCCCAGACUCCUACGGGAGGCAGCAGUGGGGAAUAUUGCACAAUGGGCGGAAGCCUGAUGCAGCAACGCCGCGUGCGGGAUGACGGCCUUCGGGUUGUAAACCGCUUUCGCCUGUGACGAAGCGUGAGUGACGGUAAUGGGUAAAGAAGCACCGGCUAACUACGUGC